AUCUGCGGUCCCGACCACAAUUGCUGGGAGUCGCGUCCCGGAGACUGGCGGCGCUGACUCUGCCCGCUGCGGCCGCCGCGCCGAUUAGAGCCCGAGAGGGAGCGCCAACCCCGGGGAGGGGGGCGAUGGCGGGGAAGCGCUGGUGCCCCUUGGCCUCCAUCCUAGCCAACACCCCCAAUGCCAAGUCGGGUCUUUCUCUGCCUCCCUUAUAAACUUAGCCUCCCAGCCUUGGCUUUCUCCAAACUGGAUCUAAAGCUAGUGCUUUGGGACCCUGCAACAACCUGAGGAAGUUGACAUCCUGUUGACCUUUCCCUCUUCCCCAGCACCCAAAAAAGAGGACUCAGAACCUCAGGAUAAGCGUUCUCGGGCAAAAGCAGAUCGAAGAAGGAGCCUGAGACGCCAGAGGACAAGCAUUCCGAGGCCAGAGCACCCCCUGCUGGCUGGCUCUGAGUCCCUGCCCCUCCCCCUCCAGCUGUGACCUCCAGCUGUGGUGGUUGGGAAGAGCUGGCUUCUUUGAUCUAGAAGCGUGGCCACCCCCUCCAGGCGCCCCAUUAACCUCCAUUAUCCCAAUUAGGCAUCCCUCCCAGU
rnacentral:lncRNA from 1 species